UACAUAUAGCACACAUGAGAUUUCCAGUAGCAUUUAUUCGACUUUCUGUAUUUAAUAUGUUGCAUAUUCUUGCUAGAUUUGCAAAUAAAUAUUUUUUUCUUUUAAUAACAAUUUUAUUACUGUUUUGUGUUUAUAAACACAUAUUCCCUAGCAGGCUUAGGUUUAGAUCUUAAAGGGUUAAAAAAAAUACAUGGACAACGGCGGAAAUAGGCAACAGAAUUGAAUGUGAUCAAGCAAAAAUAUAUUUUUGCCUAAACUUGAACUUUACAUACGGAGCUCAAAGCAAGCACAAAUUUGUGCAUAUAGCGCACAUAAGACUUCUAGUAGCAUUUAUUCUACUUUCUGCAUUUAACAUGUUAACAUAUUUAUUCUGCAUGUUCCUGCUAGAUUUGAAAACAAGUUUUCAAUUAUUAAAACACAUUUAGAAACACAUAUUCCAAAGCAGGCUCAGGUUUAAGUCAAAAAGGGUUAAAAAAAAAUACAUGUACAAUGGCGGAAAUAGGCAAGUCCUCAUGCAAAUGGCUCACAAAGAUGUGUGCAUCAAGCUGCGUUUUUGUUUCCCUCUGUCUUUUGCUUUGUGCUUUAAAUGAAGUUACAUAGCACAAUCACUUUGCUGUAAAUCCUAUGGACCAGCAUUGUACCAAAUAAUUACAGCACCUGUGAUUUGCUUUUCUGAUGUAAAAUACCACUUUUUUGAGAGUUCCUGUAAAUUGCAUGACUAAUCUGAUUCCUCAUCUAUUUCAUUUCUUCAUUUUUGCUGGGUGCACAAGGUAAGUUCUACAUAAUAACAUUAAUAUGUAAUAUUGAUACAAAAAGGAAAUAAAUUAGCUACAGUGUACGCAUAAUUAUAUUUAUAAAAUACUUAUACUAACAUAUGCAGACAGAAAGAUGUAGUUAUGUUUCAGUAAUAUUAUAUAUAAACAGCAUAACUGACAUUGGAAUGUACUGUUAUAGGAAAACAAAUUAAAGUUACUGUUAUAACUAUGGAACACAUUAUGAAAUAGCAAAAAUAGAAAAUAGCAAAUAGAAAUAAUGUUAGUCGGUAAUAUUUUUACUUCUAAAAAUCAAGUUUUUCUCAUUUAAACAAACACAUAUUACUAGACAAGCUCAGGUUUAAGUCAAAUGUAUGUCUAUGCUUACAUUCAGCAGUUUUUUCUUUUUUCUUGAAAUGCAAUGAAAAGCCAAAAGUCUGUUUUGUUGCCAUAGAUUACAUGAAGAAAUCACUACAGAAAUUUAACCAAGAGUUACAAAAUGCCUGUGAUGUAUGUGAUUUGAUUCUGAAACACUUCUUUAUUUCUGCCAGCAUCUGAGGACAUAAGUUUACAAGUUUCCAAAUCGUGGGACUUCACUUCUGCAACCAGCCGAGUGAACAAGCUGACUGCUGAGCCCAAAGUACAUUUCCAACAAGCAGUUCAUUAAUAAUGACACAAUCAAGUCUCCGUUUUGUCUCCUGGAACACAAAUGGUAUUAAAGAUACCACUAGGUCACCACAAAAGUUCUCAAAAUUGUUGAACAGCCUUAGCAACCUUCAAGCUGAUGUUGCCUUUAUACAAGAGACACAUGUUGGGACAAACAAUUACCAAAUCUUGGAAGAUGUUCCAGGCUGGAGAUCCUACUUCACUGUGCACAGCUCUCGCAGCAAAGGAGUCGCUAUACUGAUAAGAGACAGUGUACCAUUUGAGUACAUAUGUCAUGAUGAGGAUUAUAGUGGAGGUUACAUUGUGCUCUUCUGUAAAAUAUAUGGUGAACUAUACACACUGGUUAAUGUGUACAAUCAUAAAGCAGACAGAAAUGUCUUAGAUAGACUGAAAGAGUAUUUGAUGGAAACAGCUGAAC